AACAAGUUAGGGGGGAAGUGGCAGCAUAUACAGUGUUCAGGUGUCAGGAGACCAAGAGGGAACAAGUUAGGGGGGGAAAGUGGCAGCAUAUACAGUGUUCAGGUGUCAGGAGACCAAGAGGGAACAAGUUAGGGGGGAAAGUGUCAGCAUAUACAGUGUUCAGGUGUCAGGAGACCAAGAGGGAACAAGUUAGGGGGGGAAAGUGGCAGAUAUAUACAGUGUUCAGGUGUCAGGAGACCAAGAGGGAACAAGUUAGGGGGGAAAGUGUCAGCAUAUACAGUGUUCAGGUGUCAGGAGACCAAGAGGGAACAAGUUAGGGGGGGAAAGUGGCAGCAUAUACAGUGUUCAGGUGUCAGGAUACAGAGGGAACAAGUUAGGGGAGAAAGUGGC